rnacentral:rRNA from 1 species
AUACGGAGGGUGCAAGCGUUAUUCGGAAUCACUGGGCGUAAAGGACGCGUAGGCGGGUUUGUAAGUCAGGUGUGAAAUCCUACAGCUUAACUGUAGAACUGUACUUGAAACUACAGACCUAGAGUAUGGGAGGGGCAGAUGGAAUUAGUGGUGUAGGGGUAAAAUCCGUAGAUAUCACUAGGAAUACCGAAAGCGAAGGCGAUCUGCUGGAACAUAACUGACGCUAAGGCGUGAAAGCGUGGGGAGCAAACAGGAUUAGAAACCCUAGUAGUCC